CUUGCUCUGUGGGAUCAGUGGCGAACGGGUGAGUAACACGUGAGCAACCUGCCCCUGACUCUGGGAUAAGCGCUGGAAACGGCGUCUAAUACUGGAUAUGUGACGUGACCGCAUGGUCUGCGUCUGGAAAGAAUUUCGGUUGGGGAUGGGCUCGCGGCCUAUCAGCUUGUUGGUGAGGUAAUGGCUCACCAAGGCG
rnacentral:rRNA from 1 species